rnacentral:rRNA from 1 species
GGGCCCGCACAAGCGGUGGAGCAUGUGGUUUAAUUCGAUGCAACGCGAAGAACCUUACCUACUCUUGACAUCCAGAGAAGCCAGCGGAGACGCAGGUGUGCCUUCGGGAGCUCUGAGACAGGUGCUGCAUGGCUGUCGUCAGCUCGUGUUGUGAAAUGUUGGGUUAAGUCCCGCAACGAGCGCAACCCUUAUCCUUGUUUGCCAGCGAGUAAUGUCGGGAACUCCAGGGAGACUGCCGGUGAUAAACCGGAGGAAGGUGGGGACGACGUCAAGUCAUCAUGGCCCUUACGAGUAGGGCUACACACGUGCUACAAUGCUACGGACAAAGGGCAGCAAGUUCGCGAGGACAAGCAAAUCCCAUAAACCGUGGCUCAGUUCAGAUCGUAGGCUGCAACUCGCCUACGUGAAGGCGGAAUCGCUAGUAAUCGCAGGUC